AACGAACGCUGGCGGCAUGCCUAACACAUGCAAGUCGAACGAGACCUUCGGGCCUAGUGGCGCACGGGGGCGUAACGCGUGGGAACCUGCCCUUAGGUACGGAAUAACUCACCGAAAGGGGUGCUAAUACCGGAUAAUGUAUUCGGACCAAAGAGUUAUCGCCUUUGGAUGGGCGCGCGUUGGUUUAGCUAGUUGGUAGUGUAAAAGCCUACCAAGGCGACGAUGCAUAGCUGGUCGGGGAAGAAGGUACGCCACGCUGGGACUGAGACACGGCCUAGACUCCUACGGAGGGGAGCAGUAGGGAAUAUUAGACGAUGAGCGAAGGCGUGAUCCAGCAGUGCCGCGUGAGUGGGGAAGGGCUUAGGAUUGUAAAGCUCUUUUACCCGAGGUGAUAAUGACAGUACCGGGAGAAUAAGCACCGGCUAACUCCGUG
rnacentral:rRNA from 1 species